GCUUGGCUGGCUCAUUCGGUUCAGCAUGUGACUCUUGAUCUCAGGGUCAUGAGUUCAAGCCCCAUGUUGGGUG
rnacentral:tRNA from 1 species